rnacentral:sRNA from 13 species
ACAAUUCUGUUCUAAAGGCGGUGCCGACAUGGCGAGAGAGUCUGCCAGAAAGGAUGCUGUGUGUCUUGAUAGAAUCCCCGAGUAGUGGAACCGGUGCUGGGGGGUGCUGUCUGAGAGAAGGCGUUCUUUUAAAAAGUUUGUUGCUUAAGUGUUACGAACUUUUCAUUUCAAUUGGAACUUUUACUUUUGGCAAGUGUCUUCAGAGAGAAGAUUCGCGCUAUAAUCGCCUACAUCUGACACGUUGAACUGUGAAGUUGAAACAUUCAUUAUCAAGAUAAACAUCUCCUAACUUAGAGAACCAAGAAGACGCUAAUAGGAACACGAAUGUAUUCUUGACUUCUCAGAUCAAAGUAUUGUGUGGUAACAAAUUAGUAUGUAAUUCAAAUACAUUUGGUGAAGCUCAUAUCAAGGUGUACAACUUUUGCUUAAAACAUUUGUAAUAGAUUGACACAGAAGGAUUUUGAGAUACUCGUCAUUGAAGCGACAUCAAAAACGGUUUUAGUUCACAAUAAAAAAAAAACAUUCAGUUUUAUUAAGCCAGUGAGCAGAUAAAUAUAGCCAUCUAGUGGAUUUGACUGCCAGGUCUGGACACAUUGACAGGCAGGUAAAAGACAGAAUCAAUACUGUUUUGUUGAUCGCUGACGUACAAUCAAUAGGUAUUGUAAACAUGACCCCAGUGCCCAGGUACAGACUGAAGAUUUUAAUCAAAAUGUCAAGCUUAUGUUGGUACUGAACAAUAAGACAAGCUGGUUGAGUACUACUGAAAGGCCAGUGGGCAGUCUUGGCUAGCAGGUCAGUGGGCAGUCUUGGCUAGCGGGGACGGAAAGUUGACAUCAAUAUUGAAACGAUAAGGGAGAUCACUAAUGUAGCGAUCACAAUCCCUACCCAAAUGUUAAGAAACCGAAGAUUUCCUGUUUGGAUUUAGAAACAAACUGAUCAAAGAAGCAAGACAAGAAUACGUUGUGAAUAGUGAGCUGACAUUGACAGGGGGAGAUCAUGAGAGAUAAUCGGCGCAGGAUGGGAGUGUGGACAGAAUUUAUCUCCCUUUUCUUCAUGUUGUACAUCAUAGAUCUGACAGAGCUGAUGACUCUGGAGCCAAGUUUUGACACCCCAAUGGCUAACGUCACAGUGAAAGAAAUGGCUACGGCCAUCUUACCUUGUUCCGUCAAGUUCAUCGGAAAACACCAGUGAUGUUUCCUUUGCCAGGGAAGUACACUUAUGCUAAAUUGUUGUCCCAAGAAUUUGAAAACAGCUGAAUUCAUAAACAUAGAUAUGGGAGUUGACUAUUGAAAAUAUGCAAGAGACAAAAGGAAUAAUAAACAUUUUCGUUUCUGUUGCAACGAAUUUGGGUGGUGACUAUGUCUUGGUAUUGUCUGAAGUUAAAUCUGAUGACCACAUGUCCAUUUCUAUGUCUAAAGUUAAAUCUGAUGACCAAAUAUCCAUGUCUAUGUCUGAAGUUAAAUCUGAUGACCACAUGUCCAUUUCUAUGUCUAAUGUUAAAUCUGAUGACCAAAGGUCCAAUUUGUAUGUCUGUGAUCAUUGAUUGAAGGAAGAAAUAAAAUAAUUCCUUACGAUUGAUUCAAUUCCUUAAAACGCAGGUGGAAGUCAGGAACACACGCUACAUAGCAACCAAUACUACACUUUGUAAUUCAAAUUCAAUCAUAAAUUUUCAAAAGAAGUCUUGACAUGAAGCUUGAAACUUAUGGAUCGAACGAACUGAUAUUUCGGUCCAUGAAAUAAGCUCGAUCGAAAUGAAA